GCCGAGAUGGCGGAAUUGGUAGACGCGCCGGAUUCAAAAUCCGGUUCUCGCAAGGGAGUGAGGGUUCGAUUCCCUCUCUCGGCA
rnacentral:tRNA from 1 species